ACACUGCUGAAGAGUCCAACAAUAGGACGAAGCGAUCGUUCAGUGC
rnacentral:hammerhead_ribozyme from 1 species